UGGUCCAUCGGGACCUCGGAUACCUGCUAGUUUAG
rnacentral:ncRNA from 1 species